UACGAAGGGGGCUAGCGUUGCUCGGAAUCACUGGGCGUAAAGGGCGCGUAGGCGGCCAUUCAAGUCAGAGGUGAAAGCCCAAGGCUCAACCUUGGAACUGCCUUUGAUACUGUUUGGCUUGAGACCGGUAGAGGUAAGUGGAACUGCGAGUGUAGAGGUGAAAUUCGUAGAUAUUCGCAAGAACACCAGUGGCGAAGGCGGCUCACUGGCCCGAUACUGACGCUGAGGCACGAAAGCGUGGGGAGCGAACAGG
rnacentral:rRNA from 1 species